CGGGGUGCAGCAGGCGCGAAAACUCUACAAUGCAGGUAACUGCGAUAGGGGGACAUCGAGUGGCAUCCACCUUGGGUGCCUGUCCCACCGUCUAAAAAACGGUGGUUAGCAAGGGCCGGGCAAGACCGGUGCCAGCCGCCGCGGUAAUACCGGCGGCUCGAGUGGUGGCCGAUAUUAUUGAGUCUAAAGGGUCCGUAGCCGGCUUUGCAAGUCCCCUGGGAAAUCCAGCGGCUUAACCGUUGGGCUUUCAUGGGAUACUACAUUGCUUGGGACUGGGAGAGGUAGGAGGUACUCGGGGGGUAGGGGUGAAAUCCUGUAAUCCCCCGGGGACCACCGGUGGCGAAGGCGUCCUACCAGAACAGGUCCGACGGUGAGGGACGAAAGCUAGGGGCACGAACCGGAUUAGAUACCCGGGUAGUCCUAGCCGUAAACGAUGCCCGCUAGGUGUCACGGCGGUCGUGAAUCGCCGUGGUGCCGUAGGGAAGCCGCGAAGCGGGCCACUUGGGAAGUACGGCCGCAAGGCUGAAACUUAAAGGAAUUGGCGGGGGAGCAC
rnacentral:rRNA from 1 species